rnacentral:misc_RNA from 1 species
UUAUUUUAGUCAGUUUUAUUAGACACUGAAAUGAUAUACGCAUAAAAAAGGGAAAUGAUAUACUUGUUUCGUUAUAUACAUUGAAAAGGAAAUGCCCUUUUUUUCCUCUAUAUUUCUCUCCAAAAUGUAAAUUUAAUUUCACUUCGCCAACUCUUCUUUUUCCUUCGCUGUAUCCAAAUUAGAAAGUAAGCGAAACAAAUCUUUCUCAAGACAUUUUGAUUUCUAAAGGAGUACAAAUGUAGAAACAAGCAAACAAUGUGAGAAGUUCCAGUGCCAGCCCUGGACGAAAUUGACCAUUUAAAUAACAUAUCAGAAUGAUCAUUCCAGCACCUAAUUGCAGAGAAAUAAUCCUUACUUUCAACUCUAACAAUCAUCACCAAUCACCACCUCAAAACCAUUCAAACCUGAAAAUUGACAAAAUCAUAAUUAUAUUUGCUAAACGAAACAUUAAACACAGUGUAAAAUUCAUGUCAAAGGAUGGAUCAGAAUUCUGGCUUGGUUCUCAAUAGAGAGAAAGAUCGCUCAGUUUGUUCAGCUUCGAUCAUUUGGGGAAAUAUUCAUCAAUUCCAUCUCUUCAAUAACCAAACAUCCAAACAUCACACACGCACUGACGCACAAUCUUAUCACAAGCAAGAAUGCACUGAUUUGGCAACGCAAGCAAACUUUGGAAGAAAUUAUAUGCAAUGACUGAACUGGUAAAGAUUGCAAAACAAUAAAGAAGCCAGCAAUAAAUACAGUACUACCUAUGAUAGGUUUGAGCUGGUAAAGAAAACACAUCACAAUGGUACUGAAGGAUCUGGUAUGUUAUAGAAGCAGAUGAAUACGGGCAUCAGGUCUCAAAGGUUACAUAGCAUCAAUGAAAUAAUUCAGACGCAAAUUACCCAUUAACAAUACA